rnacentral:lncRNA from 1 species
AUCAGUAGGUGCCCCGGCAGGAACCAGGAUGGCACCAAAGCUUUCAGCUGAGGAGACCCAGUGAAGGCAGUGCUUACAGAGGAGUGGGCUUGCAGUGUGAGGGGGCAGCGGGAAGGCUGCGUUCACUUUACUGCUGGGUGGGGGAGGAGGCCUGUUGCCUGAGCCAGGUGGGGCUGCGGCCAGGAAGGGGCCCAUGGGGUGGAGAGGCUGGGGUGGGCGGGUGAUCAGCAGCUUGGUGCAGAAGACUACGCUGCAGAGAAGCUAUGCUCGCAUUAUCUUUACUCUCGCUUAGUUCUCCUGCAACCUCCAGCGGUAGGACUAACAGGUGGAUUAUGCCCAUUUUACAGAGGAGGAGGGUGGGUCCGAGGUGAGGAGAGUCUCUGAGGAUGCGUUUGGACAGGAGCAGGGCCGGGAAGAGGGCUCCUGAUUUCCAGCCCCAUCGACAACAGAACAAGGGCCACGUGGGACCAGGAAAGGGAGCUCUUUGCCAGGACACCUGUGGGACAGGGGCCUGCUGGAUGAAGAGGGGUCAGGCGGUUGGUGGGCUACAUUUUCACCCUGCCAUGUGUAGCUGCAAUGAAAAGAGUGUGCUUUGAGGGGUGGAAUGACAUUCAGCAAAUGAGAAUGGAUUUGACCACCUCUGGGAGAGGAAAUGAUUGCCUUGUCACCACCACCUCCUGCUUUUCUCCCUUGCUGGCCGUCCUUCCUCCCACCACUGGCUUGUUUGGAAGUUGAGGACCCAAAGGAUCUGGGGUUCUGUGGCAUUUGUGGAAAACUCAUACAGCUCUCCUUCUGGAAGCAAAUGGAGACAGACGCGGAAGGGGGUGGGAUGGACUUGAUCUACCACGAAGAAGAUAGACAAUGCUGUGACCCCGGGUGCCUCUCCAGACUCAGGACCGUCUUGGAGUAGCUACUUUGGCGGCUGUCUUAGAAUGCUGCCCUCGGCAGUCUGACGGCAUUUAAUUAAGCCUCUGCGAUGAUGAGGAUAUUAGGAUGCAGCCAUCUGGGAUCCUGGAGCCUGGAGAUGGAAUCAAAGGGAUGUUAAAAGCAAUCCGAGUGAGGGACCUGAGAGGCAUACCAACAACGCAGCUACACUCCUGGGGGGGUUCCACAAAAUGUACCAUAAGGAAAAAGAAAAUAAGGCUAACAUGCACAUUGAAACCUGAUUCACGGUAUGAAACUCAAGCUGGCGUUCGACAUUUGCCAAAUUCUGACCCACACCUUUUUUGUCUUAUCUCCUGCUCCUCCUCUGCACCAACAUCAUGCUGUGUCUAAACUAACCUAUCAGCUUCUGUGUGGAUGGUUUCUCCUGCAGGCUCUUGGCCAUACUGUUCUCCACCUGCAGUGUCCCCCGCCCCUCUGUUCAUGUCCAAAUUGCACCUCCUUUCCUCUAUACCCAUCUUGUGUGCCAAGCCUCUGAGCUCCCACCCGACUCGUCAGUCUGACUCAUUUGGUGAUGGUCAGGCCCAGCAGUGGCACCACUGCAGUCAGAACUGGGUCUGAAUGCCUAUCUUCCACUUAGUAAUGGGGCACCCUUUGGGGAGGAACGACAUCUUUUUGAACCCUAGUUUCUUCACAUGUGAACUGUUGGGAGGGGAGUAGGGACCGUGGAAGGUUUAUUGUUAGCACCCACUGACCCAGGCCUAAGGGCUGCCCUCGGGGUCUGGUCCCUGCGACACUCAGAUCAGACGAAGCGCUCUGGAUCCUAGUUUAAAUAAGAUGUUUGCGUUGAAAUGGCGAACUCUUCUUGUCCCAGCCCCAACCUCACCCUGCGCCAUGGUUCAAAAUUAGCCACAGCUCAUCAACAUAAUCCAUUAUCGGGGGGCCGAGUUCCUCUGCUCAUCGAUGGACCCAGAUGCCAAUCAUU